AGCAGCCGCGGUAAUUCCAGCUCCAAUAGCGUAUAUUAAAGUUGCUGCAGUUAAAAAGCUCGUAGUUGAAUUUCGGGACCAAUAUGUCGGUCGUGCCUCGGUACGUACUGGCAUCGUUGGUUUCUCCCUUCUGACGAACCAUGAUGUCAUUCAUUUGGUGUCGUGGGGAAUCAGGACUGUUACUUUGAAAAAAUUAGAGUGUUUAAAGCAGGCUCACGCUUGGAUACAUUAGCAUGGAAUAAUGAAAUAGGACGUUUGAUUCUAUUUUGUUGGUUUCUAGGAUCGACGUAAUGAUUAAUAGGGAUAGUUGGGGGCAUUAGUAUUCAAUUGUCAGAGGGGAAAUUCUUGGAUUUAUUGAAGACUAACUACUGCGAAAGCAUUUGCCGAAGGAUGCUUUCUUUAAUCUAGAACGAAAGUUAGGGGAUCGAAGACGAUCUGAUACCGUCGUAGUCUUACUAUAACUUUGCCGACUUAGGAUCGGAUGAUGU
rnacentral:rRNA from 1 species